GAAAGAUUCAUCGGAAGAGGAUGGGCAUGCGGCGCAUUAGCUAGACGGCGGGGUAACGGCCCACCGUGGCGACGAUGCGUAGGGGUUCUGAGAGGAAGGUCCCCCACACUGGUACUGAGACACGGACCAGACUCCUACGGGAGGCAGCGGUGAGGAAUAUUGGUCAAUGGGAGAGAUCCUGAACCAGCCAAGCCGCGUGAGGGAAGACGGCCCUAUGGGUUGUAAACCUCUUUUGUCGGAGAACAAAACCCGGGACGUGUCCCGGACUGCGUGUAUCCGAAGAAAAAGCAUCGGCUAACUCCGUGCCAGCAGCCGCGGUAAUACGGAGGAUGCGAGCGUUAUCCGGAUUUAUUGGGUUUAAAGGGUGCGUAGGCGGUCCGUUAAGUCAGCGGUAAAAUUGCGGGGCUCAACCCCGUCGAGCCGUUGAAACUGGCAGACUUGAGUUGGCGAGAAGUACGCGGAAUGCGCGGUGUAGCGGUGAAAUGCAUAGAUAUCGCGCAGAACUCCGAUUGCGAAGGCAGCGUACCGGCGCCAGACUGACGCUGAGGCACGAAAGCGUGGGGAUCGAACAGGAUUAGAUACCCUGGUAGUCCACGCAGUAAACGAUGAAUGCUGGUUGUCCGGGUCGAAUGAGAUCUGG
rnacentral:rRNA from 1 species